UACGAGGGGGGCUAGUGUUGUUCGGAAUCACUGGGCGUAAAGGGCGCGUAGGCGGGUGGCUAAGUUGGGGGUUUAAUUCCGGGGCCCAACCCCGGGCGUGCACUCAAAACUGGGUUUCUUGAAUAGGGGAGAGGUCGGUGGAAUUGGAGGUGUAGCGGUGGAAUGCGUAGAGAUCUCCAAGAACACCCGUUGCGAAGGCGGCCGACUGGACCCAUAUUGACGCUGAGGCUCGAAAGCAUGGGGAGCAAACAGG
rnacentral:rRNA from 1 species